rnacentral:rRNA from 1 species
AUGCCAACAACCACGCCGCCGCUAGCGGCACCAUCCUUGUCCGGCGAGCUUCUCGAGGAGAUCUUCCUCCGCUUCCUGCCGAAUGAGCCCUCAUUCCUCGUGCGCGCCUCACUUGCAAGUAAGCUCUCGUUCGGCCUUCUCACCAGCCCUAACUUCCAGAGCCGCUAUCGAGAGUUCCAUGGAGCUCUCCCCAUGUUGGGAUUCUUUUGUAAUCGGAUCGACACCUCCGACUCGGAGGAGGAGGAGGAAGAACCUGUAUCACACUUUGUUCCCGCCACAACAUCCGACUCAUGCAUAUCCAAGGAUGGCUGGAUCGAGUCGAAAUAUGAUGUAUGGGAUUGCCGACAUGGUCAUGUUCUAUUUGGGGAGAAGGGUCGGAGAUCCACGAAGUUCAUCAUUCGGAACCCCAUGACGUCCCGCUGGACGGAGGUGCACAUACCCAAAAGAUACAUGGUGGCCGACAACCGUGUAGCCGCUAUGCUUUGUGCUAUGACCGGAUGCGACCACCGCCAAUGUCAUGAGGGCCCGUUUCGGUUGGUUUUUGCCUACUUGUAUGUGGGAGAGGGCGAGGACGAGGAUGAUUGUGUUGCAUACGCGGGUGUGUCCCUGCCAGAGAUGUGCAAUUGGAGCAAUCCGUGCUCUAAAUUUCUGAGCAAGCCAUGCUCUGAACCAUGGAGCAAGCGGUGGAGAGAUUCCUCUGGUCUUCAUGUUCCAUUUGAGGCAUGCAUCGAAUCAACCCCCCCCCCCAGUCCUCAGCGAAGACUCACUCUACUCCAUACUUUCAUAUUAUGUUGA